UCUUGGUGGAGAUCCCUGUCUACCUGAGGUCUUCUAAGGGACUGGAGAAAAAAGUAUGAUUGGGCUGUGUGAACUGGGGAAUUGGUAGUGCAAGCACCAAGAAAUCUAGCUGAUUCUACUACUGCGGCACAGUUCUAAGAGACAAUUGGAAGAAGUGUUAACAAAACCAAGAUGGAUUGUAUUAAUCAGUGGCAAAGGAAGAGGUAUACUUCUUUCAUUACUAAGGAGGUGAGCUUCUCUUACUGAGAACUGCACUACUUUGGUUAUACCCUUUAAACCCAGAAAACAUAGAAGUAAAGUGGAAAAAACAGUUAAUGUGGGCUGAAGCAUGCCACUAGUGAAGAAAAUGGAUUAUGUACUAUCUGAAAAUGCAGAGGAUGGAUGCAGAAGGUGUAGUUUUGUCAGAUGUUGGCCUUCCCAAGAAAGCCAGGUUAAGAAAUACUCUCUCCUUCCCUUAAUGGCUUGUUUCCAAUCUGCCAAUGUAAUAUAUUUUAGGAUAUAUUGUAAACUGUAUUGCUGAAAUAAUCUGGCUUAGUAAACAUUUGCUCUUUUGAAGGUUUACUUUUAUCCCAGAUCACUUCAGUGAAGCUAGUAUCUCCUGAAAGUAUGCCUUUAGGAUGAAAUGAUAUGGUUCAAUCCAAAUUAGUAAUCUAGCAGUAUGUCAUUACUGAAAGAAGGAAGUUUUUCCCUGCUGACCCAGGAAAAAAUGAACAGCCUUCUGUCAGAUUUGUGAGCUGAAUCAGCUCAUUGUGUUUUUGUGUGCAUGCAUGUGGAUCUGAAGCGUCCUCGGUGCAAAGCAGAAGUGGUGAGAGACCUGUGGCUGGGAAUGAGAGGGAAGGAGAAAAUAGGAUCUCACCCUUUUGGUCAUGUCAAGGGUUCAUGAUGGCUUGAACCAGCACAAGUAUUUCCACCUUCUAUGUUCAUACCAAAAUAUUUCAUUGAUGAAAUAGAACUAGCUACAUUAAUGGCUGUACUAAAUCUGGAAAUCUAGAUUGCUGUUUCCCUGUAUUUGUUCCUAUUUUCUGUAUGUUGUGCAUUAACACUGUAUUUGGUAUUAUGAGCGCUAUUAACUGCGUACUGAUUUAUUUCUUGCUUUGUGGAAAUUCUGUUACUCAUUUGUUCAGGUAGCAACUGAGUCCUUUACUGGCAAAGUACCUCUUACAGUAUUGAGGGUAACUCUGAGGGAGAGUAUUCUGAAUGUGUCUGCACUGUAAAUACAGAGAAGAAGC
ensembl:lncRNA